UCCAUAUUUUCAAAUGAUACAAUUAUGUAGAGUCAUUAGACAAAUGAGUCUACUUAUCAAGGAAGAUACUUGACAGGAUGAGUAUCCCUUAUCCAAAAUGCACAGGAUCAGAAGUGUUCUGGAUUUCAGAUUUUUUUCCCAAAUUUUGGAAUAUUUACAUUGUACUUAGCAGGUGAGCAUCCCAAAUCCAAAAAUCCCAAAUCUGAAAUGCUCCAAUGGGCAACUCCUUUGAGUGAAAACCUGAAACUUUUUGAGCACCAACAUGAUGCUCAAUGGAAAUAUUCAUUGGAGCACUUUGGAUUUUGGAUUUUUGGAUUUGGGAUGCUCAACCUGCAUUUCCUUGUAAACAUAUGAAAUUUGUA
rnacentral:lncRNA from 10 species